AGAAAAUGCAAGGCUCAGCACAGACAUCCUCUUGUCAUUGAGCACCGCAAGCUUCCCAGAAGGCAGGGUCCAGAGACUGAACUCGGAGAAUAGCUACACAAAGACAGGUAAAAGGACACCUAAAACCUCUCUCUGGUACGUGGAUGGAG